UACGUAGGGCGCAAGCGUUGUCCGGAAUUAUUGGGCGUAAAGAGCUCGUAGGCGGUCUGUCGCGUCGGUUGUGAAAACACAAGGCUCAACCUUGUGCCUGCAAUCGAUACGGGCAGACUAGAGUACUGCAGGGGAGACUGGAAUUCCUGGUGUAGCGGUGGAAUGCGCAGAUAUCAGGAGGAACACCGAUGGCGAAGGCAGAUCUCUGGGCCGUAACUGACGCUGAGGAGCGAAAGCAUGGGGAGCGAACAGG
rnacentral:rRNA from 1 species